CGGACGCAGGAGACGAGGAACUCGGGGUCGCGGGGGGAAGGAAGCGACGGGAGGAGCAGGGAAGAGCCGCGCCGAUGCACAGCCGCGGAGGGAGGCUGGUCCCCUCAACAAUCGCCAAGAAUCCUCCUCCGGUCCUUGCUUUGGGAAACUCCGUCCUGCUGAUCCUAUGGGCUCCUCCAGAGCUAGCAAAGCAUCUCCUUCCAUGACUACCCAGUUUCUGCUAUUGUUUCGUGGUCUCUCGGAAUGGCAUUAAAGAAAACAGAAGUGCAUCUUGACCCAUUUGCCUGUUCUCUGGAAAGUCAGAAGUCAGAGCAAAAGGGCUGUGUGGGAGCUAGAGAGAAGAGCACAUGAAUACCUGCCAACUGUUUGUUAACAAAUCACCCAGAAGCUUCACUAUUAAAACUUUACUAGAACAAUUAUUGUGUUAAUUGCUGGAUAGACUCCAUUAAAUGGAAAUCAUUAUAAGUCUCUUCCUGUUUGGAAGCUGAUAUUAGUAUCUAUGACUGUGUUGUCCAGGCCUAAAGUGAGGUGACCAAGGGUGAUGGCUCAUAUCUGAAUCCUAGGACUCAGGAAGCUUAGGCAGGAGGAUGACAGAGUG